GUGCUCCCUUCGGCAGCACAUAUACUAAAAUUGGAACGAUGAAGAGAUUAGUAUGGCCCCUGAAUAAGGGUGAUAUGCAAAUUCUGAAACGGUCCAUAUUUUU